UACAGAGGGUGCGAGCGUUGUUCGGAAUUAUUGGGCAUAAAGCGCUUGUAGGCGGCACGUCAAGUCGCGUGUGAAAUCCCCAGGCUUAACCUGGGAAGUGCGCGCGAAACUGACGAGCUUGAGUGCCGGAGAGGGUCGCGGAAUUCCCGGUGUAGAGGUGAAAUUCGUAGAUAUCGGGAGGAACACCAGUGGCGAAGGCGGCGACCUGGACGGACACUGACGCUGAGACGCGAAAGCGUGGGGAGCAAACAGG
rnacentral:rRNA from 1 species